AACGUCGUGAGACAGUUCGGUCCCUAUCUGCCGUGGGCGCUGGAGAAUUGAGGGGGGCUGCUCCUAGUACGAGAGGACCGGAGUGGACGCAUCACUGGUGUUCGGGUUGUCAUGCCAAUGGCACUGCCCGGUAGCUAAAUGCGGAAGAGAUAAGUGCUGAAAGCAUCUAAGCACGAAACUUGCCCCGAGAUGAGUUCUCCCUGAGACUUUAAGUCUCCUGAAGGAACGUUAAAGACGAUGACGUUGAUAGGCCGGGUGUGUAAGCGCAGCGAUGCGUUGAGCUAACCGGUACUAAUGAACCGUGAGGCUUAACCUUACAACGCCGAAG
rnacentral:rRNA from 1 species